UACGGAGGGUGCAAGCGUUAUCCGGAUUCACUGGGUUUAAAGGGUGCGUAGGAGGGCAGGUAAGUCCGUGGUGAAAUCUCUGAGCUUAACUCAGAAACUGCCGUGGAUACUACCGGUUCUUGAAUACCGUGGAGGUGAGCGGAAUAUGUCAUGUAGCGGUGAAAUGUUUAGAUAUGACAUAGAACACCAAUUGCGAAGGCAGCUCACUACCCGAAUAUUGACUCUGAGGCACGAAAGCGUGGGGAUCAAACAGG
rnacentral:rRNA from 1 species